GAUGAACGCUGGCGGCGUGCUUAAUACAUGCAAGUCGAGCGAACAGAUGAGGAGCUUGCUCCUUUGACGUUAGCGGCGGACGGGUGAGACACACGUGGAUCCUCUCCCUAUCAGACUGGGAUCACUUCGGGAAACCGGCGCUAAUACCGGAUAAUCUAUUGAACCGCAUGGUUCAUUAGUGAAAGACGGUUUUGCUGUCACUUAUCGCUGCAUCCGCGCCGCUUUAGCUAGUUGGUAAGGUAACGGCUUAUCAAGGCAACGAGGCGUAGACGACCUGCCGGGGUGAUCGGCCACACUGGAACGGAGACACGGUCCAUGCUCCUACGGGAGGCAGCAGUAUGGAAUCUUCGGCAAUGGUCGAAAGCUUUACAGAACAACGCCGCGUGAGUGAUGAAGGUCUUCGGAUCGGAAAACUCUGUUAUUAGGUGAGAACAAAUGUGGAAGGAACUAAGCACGUCUUGACGGUACCUAGUCAGAAAGCCACGGCUAACUACGUG
rnacentral:rRNA from 1 species